GGGUCAGUAGGUUGGUCGUGCCACCGGUACGUACUGGUCUCACUGAUUCCUCCUUCCUGAAGUACCGUAAUGCCAUUAAUUUGGUGUUGCGGGGAAACAGGACUGUUACUUUGAAAAAAUUAGAGUGUUUAAAGCAAGCUAACGCUUGAAUACAUUAGUAUGGAAUAAUGAAAUAGGACGAUCGAUCCUAUUUUGUUGGUUUCUAGGAUUGACGUA
rnacentral:rRNA from 1 species